rnacentral:ribozyme from 17 species
AAGAAGAAGAAAAGAAGGAAGAAGAACAAGCGAAAAAGGAUGAUUAAGAUAUCUGUAUAGUAUUGGUUUUUUCUUGAAAUUGUUGUCGCCUGUCUUUGUGAUUUACACCUGAUUUUAAAACAUACAUAUCCUAUGGAAACUGG